rnacentral:rRNA from 1 species
CAGCCGCCGCGGGAAUACGAAGGGGGCUAGCGUUGCUCGGAAUGACUGGGCGUAAAGGGCGCGUAGGCGGUUUUGACAGUCAGAUGUGAAAUUCCUGGGCUUAACCUGGGGGCUGCAUUUGAGACGUCAAGACUAGAGUGUGAGAGAGGGUUGUGGAAUUCCCAGUGUAGAGGUGAAAUUCGUAGAUAUUGGGAAGAACACCGGUGGCGAAGGCGGCAACCUGGCUCAUUACUGACGCUGAGGCGCGAAAGCGUGGGGAGCAAACAGGAUUAGAUACCCCUGUAGUCCCUGUCUCUUAUAC